rnacentral:rRNA from 1 species
UGGUGGAGUGAUUUGUCUGGUUGAUUCCGAUAACGAACGAGACGCCGUCCUAUUAAAUAGUAACCGGCAACGUCUACCGAGUGAAGCGGCUGAUGCAGUAGGAUUGCUUCGCGGCAGUUCUGCUCUCGGCCGUGAAUCUUUGAUGCUUGUCGGGCGACUUCUUAAAGGGACUAUUGGGGUUUACCUUUGGAAGCGGCGCAAUAACA